ACUGGGAUUAGAUACCCCACUAUGCCUAGCCUUAAACAUUGACAACUUACAUUAUUUCAUCCGCCCGGGAACUACGAGCCGCAGCUUAAAACCCAAAGGACUUGGCGGUGCCCCAAACCCACCUAGAGGAGCCUGUUCUAUAAUCGAUACCCCCCGCUUAACCUCACCACCCCUCGCCAGCAGCCUAUAUACCACCGUCGCCAGCCCACCUCAUGAGAGAAAACAAGUAGGCAUAAUGGUAACCACCAAAACGUCAGGUCAAGGUGUAGCCUAUGGGGCGGAAAGCAAUGGGCUACACUUUCUACACAGAAAACUACGGAAGACUAUUAUGAAAUCUAGUCUGAAGGCGGAUUUAGUAGUAAAAAGAUUCAAGAGUGUUCUUUUUAAUCUGGCCCUGGGGCGCGCACACACCGCCCGU
rnacentral:rRNA from 1 species